AGAACGAACGCUGGCGGCGUGGAUAAGACAUGCAAGUCGAGCGCUGAUUACGGGGUAGCAAUAUCUCGUAGUUGGAGCGGCGCAAGGGUGCGUAACACGUGGGUAAUCUGCCAUGAAGUCCGGGAUAACUCGCUGAAAGGCGAGCUAAUACCGUAUGUGAAAAUUGGGAGGCAUCUUCUGAUUUUCAAAGCUGGGGACCGUAAGGCCUGGCGCUUCAUGAUGAGCCCGCGGCCUAUCAGCUAGUUGGUGAGGUAACGGCUCACCAAGGCUAAAGCGGGUAGCUGGUCUGAGAGGACGACCAGCCACACUGGAACUGAGACACGGUCCAGACACCUACGGGUGGCAGCAGUCGAGAAUUUUCACAAUGGGGG
rnacentral:rRNA from 1 species